rnacentral:lncRNA from 1 species
GUUGCUGUAUCAUUUUGCCUUUGCUUAUGUAGUAUUUAGGAUUCUGAUUGCAUUAGGCUGUUCUUCUUGGUUGGCAGUUCUUGGGUAUAUAAUUCUAUUAAAAUGCUGUGGUGUUGCAUGCUACAUCUCAAAAUUCAUGCUAAAGUAGGAAGGUCUUUCAAAUUCUACAAACUGAAAAUAGAACUCUAAAUAUAUAGAAGAAACUGACUAAAAAUAGAAUAGAAUCUGCAAUUAAAACUCUAAAUAUAUACAAGAAACUGACUACAAAUAGGAUAGAUGAGAUCACUAUUGUUUUGCAGGUGUUUUUCUUUAAGCUAAAAUGCUAAAUAUGUUCCUGAACUUCCUCACUUUACCUAAAUAAGUCCAUAGAUUUUUAUUGUAUCCAAAUAAGCCUAUACCCUAUAAUUUGUACCUGGAUAGGCUCGGAUAGGCUCUUGUAUUGACAAAAAGAUGUUAUGCAUAUCAUGUGAUCUUAUCGGUCAUUAGGUCCAUGGUCAGCUGGCAUCUUAUGUAUGCAUAGUGGACAUUGAUGUGGUUUUUUUGAUGUGUUAAAAUUAGUUUUUUUUUUUUUUAAAUUAUUUGUUGAAAUUAGUUGAGUGGGAAAAUUUUUUGCUUGAAACGUGGUCAUUUGAGUUAACAUGGUGAUGUAGCCGAAAGGUUUAGGGCAAUUAGAACUCAACAAUUAGGGCUAGAAUAGGGUUGAUUGUGUUGGAACAAUAAAAAGAUAAUUGGGUUUUCAAAGAAACCUCUUGAAUAAAUAUUCAAAAUAACAAAAGAUGAUAAUAAUAAUCUUCUACCUAAGAUACUUAUUUAUAAUAGUUAAGAUAAAUCCUAAUCAAAUAGUAAUUUUAAUCCUAAAUAAAAACUUAAAGUACUAAAAUUCUAAUAAAGAUAGGAAAAAGAAUUUCAAACUAAAUAAAUAAAAUAAAAUCCUAAACUAACUAAAAUACUAAAUAAAUUUUCAUAUGCGCCUGCAUCAGUCCCCUCGGGUCAGAAAAGACUCGACUCCGACGAGUAGGCCUUGACAUACUCCUCAUAGAUGUCGGGAUCCACUCUUUUCAAUUCUUCUUCUGCAAUCCAAGUGCUUUCAUUAGCAGGUUUACUAAGCCAUUUCACUAAAAAUCGUCUAUACGGGUUCCCUCGUCUAGAUCGAACCUCUUUUACAUCUAGCACAUCCUCAAUAACUUCAACCUUAGCAAUUGGAAGGUGCUGAAUUUGAGCGUCUAUGGUAGAUGCAGUUCCAUCACAUCCAUCAAAUGGAUACAAGUCCAAAAUAUUGAAAAUAGGACUGAUUUGUAACUCAGGUGGUAACUCAAUUAAAUAGGCAUUUGAACUGAUUUUCUUUAGCACCUUACAAGGUCCAAACUUUCUAGACUUGAGUUUGUGAUAAGUACCCUUAGGAAAUCUUUCUUGCCUCAAGUGCACAAGUACUUGAUCACCUUCCUCAAAUUCCUGCUUGCGACGAUGUUGAUUUGCUGUAAAAGAAUAUUCUGCAUUGCUGGCCUUUAAAGCAGCCUUUACCUCUUCAUGAAUUUUCCGAAUAUGGUCAGCAAAUAACUCUCCUUCAUUACUCACUCUAGCUUCUUGUGGUAGGGGUACUAAAUCUAGCACAUGUUGAGGUUUUAACCCAUAUGCAGCCUCAAAUGGUGUCUUCUUUAUGCUUCGAUUGACAGAAUUGUUGUAAGCAAAUUCAGCUUGGGGUAUGACUAAAUCCCAAGUCUUUGGGUUAUUUUGAAUAAGACAUCUUAACAUAUUACCCAAACUUCGAUUCACAACUUCUGUUUGACCAUCUGUUUGCGGAUGGCAAGUACUAGAAUACUUCAACUCUGUCCCAAAUUUCCUCCACAAAGUUCUCCAAAAAUGUCCCAUAAACUUCACAUCUCUAUCAGAAACAAUGGAAGUUGGAAUUCCAUGUAAUCUUACAAUCUCACGAAAGAAUAAUUCAGCAAUAUGAGUUGCAUCAGAAGUCCUAAAACACGGAAUAAAAUGUGCCAUUUUUGAAAACCGAUCCACCACCACAAAGAUAGAAUCAAAUCCUUUUGCUGUCUUUGGAAGUCCCAAAACAAAACCCAUACUCAAAUGAAUCCAAGGUGCAUCUGGCUCAGGUAAAGGAACAUAUAAACCAGUGUUUUGAGCACUGCCUUUACCAAAUAAACAAGCUGGACAUCUUUUCACCAACCUCUCCACAUCUCGGCGCAUUUUUGGCCAAUAAUAACGAUCAGCCACCAUUGCCAAAGUCUUGUCUCUGCCAAAAUGUCCUCCUAAACCAUUCCCAUGAAGUUCUCUAAUGAUUUGCUCCCUUAAAGAUCCUUCUGGAAUGCACAACUGGUUACCUUUGAAUAAAUAAUAUUCGUGCAACAUAUAAGGUAAAUUUUCAGCUUGUAAUGAACCCUGCAAAUCAGCUAUUAUCUUGCUGAAAUAUGAAUCAGAACUAUACUGAUUUUUAAGUUCUUCAAAUCCUGUGACUUGCGUGCUCAUAACUGAUAACAUUUUACAUCGCCUACUCAAAGCAUCAGCCACAGUAUUAGACUGCCCAGAUUUAUAUUUUAAAGAGAAAUUAAAUUCAUUGAGAAAAGAACUCCACUUAGCAUGUUGGUUACUAAGCUUUUUCUGCGAAUGCAAAUACUUUAAAGCUUGAUGGUCAGAAUAAACAGCAAACCCACGAUAAGCCAAGUAGUGCUGCCAAUGACGAAUGACCCUUACCAAAGCAUAAAACUCUAAGUCAUAAGUUGAAUAACGUCGUCUAGAGUCUGUCAACUUUUCACUAAAAAACUCUAUAGACCUUCCAUCUUGACUAAGAACUGCUCCAAUUCCUACAUGUGAAGCAUCACACUCAACAACAAAUAACUUCUCAAAAUUUGCUCUGAUACCACUUGAUGUAGCCGAAAGGUUUAGGGCAAUUAAAACUCAACAAUUAGGGCUAGAAUAGGGUUGAUUGUGUUGGAACAAUAAAAAGAUAAUUGGGUUUUCAAAGAAACCUCUUGAAUAAAUAUUCAAAAUAACAAAAGAUGAUAAUAAUAAUCUUCUACUUAAGAUACUUAUUUAUAAUAGUUAAGAUAAAUCCUAAUCAAAUAGUAAUUCUAAUCAUAAAUAAAGACUUAAAGUACUAAAAUUCUAAUAAAGAUAGGAAAAAGAAUCUCAAACUAAACAAAAUAAAAAAAUCCUAAACUAAUUAAAAUACUAAAUAAAUUUUCAUAUGCGCCUGCAUCACGUGGUCGUGUGAUCUUAGCCAAUUUCACCACAUUUGAAUAUCCAUGUCAUGUUAUGAAUGUGAAAGAUCUCAGUUGACCGUGAGUCUAAAGGCCAUUAAGGUCAAGUGACAUUUUUCCAUCAACAUAGGGGUUUAUCUAAGUAAAAAUCUAGAAUAGGAACUUAUUCUGAGUACAAUAAAAAGGUAAGGUUUAUUUUGUUUUUUGAAAAAUUUGGGAUAAUUCAGGGCCUUAUUAAGCACUUUUAGUUUUUCUUUUUCCUUGUUCCUUUUGGGAGAGUUUCUUGUCUGCUUUUUCUGAGUUUUACUUUGGCCUUUGGGUACAAAAAAAAGUGUCAGGGUUAGUGCUAUUUAAUCAAAGGUUUAAGUUCGGAUAUAGUUGCUGCACUUUUUCGACAUUUGAUUUGGUCUCUAAACUUUAAUUUCUUAAAAUCACAAUUUGUGCUUUCAAAUUUCUCCAACCAAGAAAAAUUCUAUAACACCCAAUAAAAGUACAAGACUGAAUUCUAACAAAAUUCUACAUAGGAUAAAUUUUUUAAUAGGUUGCCUAAGCUAAUUUAGAUCUGUUUGGUUAAUGUUUCCUGCUUUCUAUUUUGUGUUUUCUAUUUCGACUAAUUUUAUUUUGUUUUAGUUUUAAAAAUUUGAAAGCAAAAUGCAUGUUUGAUGUUUGGUAAGCAGCCUCAUUCCAUGUUGAAAAAAAAAAAAAAAGAAUGAUGUUAUUGCAAACAUAAUAAUUCAAUAUAGAAGUAAACUAUUAAAAAAUUAAUAAUAAAUAAUAACAUGAUGUAAUAUAAUAGAUUCUGAUAAAUUUAUAAAUUUGUGUAAUAUAUUCUAUCAUGUUAUUACUUAUUUUCUAUGAAAAAUCUUUCAUAUGUUUCAUUUUAAUAAUAAUAAUAGUAGUAGUAGUAAUUAACUAUUAAACAAUAAGUUGGCCCAAAGUUUAAAUGUUAACAUAAUGUAUUAUAUGUUAAACAUUAUAAUAAAACAUGAAGACAUAGCCUUUAGUUGUUAAAUAUCAAAUAUU